AGAGUUUGAUCCUGGCUCAGAUUGAACGCUGGCGGUAUGCUUAACACAUGCAAGUCGAACGGAAACGAUACUAGCUUGCUAGUAGGCGUCGAGUGGCGGACGGGUGAGUAACGCGUAGGAAUCUACCUGAUAGUGGGGGAUAGCCCGAAGAAAUUCGGAUUAAUACCGCAUAAUCUAUUCGUAGUAAAGUGGGGGACUUUCGAGCCUCACGCUAUCAGAUGAGCCUGCGUAAGAUUAGCUAGUUGGUAGGGUAAAAGCCUACCAAGGCGACGAUCUUUAGCUGGUCUGAGAGGAUGAUCAGCCACAUCGGGACUGAGACACGGCCCGAACUCCUACGGGAGGCAGCAGUGGGGAAUAUUGGACAAUGGGGGCAACCCUGAUCCAGCAAUACCGCGUGUGUGAAGAAGGCCUGAGGGUUGUAAAGCACUUUCAAUUGUGAAGAAAAGCUAGUGGUUAAUAGCCAUUAGCCUUGACGUUAACUUUAGAAGAAGCACCGGCUAACUCCGUGCCAGCAGCCGCGGUAAUACGGAGGGUGCAAGCGUUAAUCGGAAUUACUGGGCGUAAAGCGUGCGUAGGCGGUUUAUUAAGUCAGAUGUGAAAGCCCCGGGCUUAACCUGGGAACUGCAUUUGAAACUGGUCAACUAGAGUAUGGUAGAGGAAAGUGGAAUUUCUGGUGUAGCGGUGAAAUGCGUAGAUAUCAGAAGGAACAUCAAUGGCGAAGGCAACUUUCUGGACCAAUACUGACGCUGAGGUACGAAAGCGUGGGUAGCAAACAGGAUUAGAUACCCUGGUAGUCCACGCCGUAAACGAUGAUAACUAGCCGUUGGGGGGAUUUACCCCUUAGUGGCGAAGCUAACGCGUUAAGUUAUCCGCCUGGGGAGUACGGCCGCAAGGUUAAAACUCAAAGGAAUUGACGGGGACCCGCACAAGCGGUGGAGCAUGUGGUUUAAUUCGAUGCAACGCGAAGAACCUUACCUGGUCUUGACAUCCUGAGAACUUUCUAGAAAUAGAUUGGUGCCUUCGGGAACUCAGUGACAGGUGCUGCAUGGCUGUCGUCAGCUCGUGUCGUGAGAUGUUGGGUUAA
rnacentral:rRNA from 1 species